rnacentral:rRNA from 1 species
UACGUAGGGGGCAAGCGUUGUUCGGAAUUACUGGGCGUAAAGCGCGCGUAGGCGGUUUGGAAAGUCAGGUGUGAAAGCCCCGGGCUCAACUUGGGAACUGCAUUUGAUACUGCCAGACUAGAGUACAGAAGAGGUGACUGGAAUUCCCAGUGUAGCGGUGAAAUGCGUAGAUAUUGGGAGGAACACCAGAUGCGAAGGCGGGUCACUGGGCUGAUACUGACGCUGAUGCGCGAAAGCCAGGGGAGCGAACGGG